UACGGGGGGGGCAAGCGUUGUUCGGAUUCACUGGGCGUAAAGGGUGCGUAGGCGGUCGGGUAAGUCUGAUGUGAAAUCUCACAGCUUAACUGUGAAACUGUAUUGGAUACUAUCCGGCUCGAGGAAUGGAGGGGAGACUGGAAUACUUGGUGUAGCAGUGAAAUGCGUAGAUAUCAAGUGGAACACCAGUGGCGAAGGCGAGUCUCUGGACAUUUCCUGACGCUGAGGCACGAAAGCCAGGGGAGCAAACGGG
rnacentral:rRNA from 1 species